AGCGAACGCUGGCGGCAGGCCUAACACAUGCAAGUCGAACGGAUCCUUCGGGAUUAGUGGCGGACGGGUGAGUAACACGUGGGAACGUGCCCUUUGGUUCGGAGCAACUCAGGGAAACUUGAGCUAAUACCGGAUGUGCCCUUCGGGGGAAAGAUUUAUCGCCAUUGGAGCGGCCCGCGUCUGAUUAGCUAGUUGGUGGGGUAAAGGCCCACCAAGGCGACGAUCAGUAGCUGGUCUGAGAGGAUGAUCAGCCACAUUGGGACUGAGACACGGCCCAAACUCCUACGGGAGGCAGCAGUGGGGAAUCUUGCGCAAUGGGCGAAAGCCUGACGCAGCCAUGCCGCGUGAAUGAUGAAGGUCUUAGGAUUGUAAAAUUCUUUCACCGGGGACGAUAAUGACGGUACCCGGAGAAGAAGCCCCGGCUAACUUCGUGCCAGCCGCCGCUGUAAUAC
rnacentral:rRNA from 1 species